GGAGGGAGAAGGAAAUGCGAGACUUAUCUGUCCCAAAUUGCAAAUUCUAGGAAAAGAUCAAUACUCCCCCCACCGACCCUGAGCUUCUCCAGCAAGAUAGAGCUUUCUGAUUCCAGCGAAUGGAGAAACAAUGGCGGACGUGGAGACGGAGGCAGCAGUAGCGGGUCAGCCGAAGAAGAGGACGUUCAAGAAGUUCUGCUUCAGGGGCGUCUAUCUCGACAUGUCCAUUGAUGAGCUCGUCAAGCUCUUCCAUGCCCGAGCUAGCAGAAGAUACCUGCAUUACACAUUUUCCGAUAUCUGUUGGUUAUGCUGUCGUGUGAGUUAGGUUCCAGAGAGGUCUCAGGAGGAAGCACAUGGCUGAUGGCUCUCAUUAAGAAGCUGCGCAAGGUGGUAAUGCUGGCUUUCAUUGAUUAUUCUCGUUCUGAUGAGUUCGCAUGUAAUUCCAGAUUGAAGUCGCAUGCCCUUUUCAAUUGCCUUUCUGUAAGCGGUGAGGUCUAUUAUUACAAGCACACAAACUGGGUGCUUCUCUGUGAAUGUGAGGGGGUUUUCCUUGUUGAAUCUGAAAUUGGGCAUCUUUCUUGCGAUUGUUGCUUCAGAAAUUCAAUGGCUUGUAUGGGGGUUUAGUACCUCCAGUGGAAUCAUCAUCGGUCAUGAGUUGCUACUCUUGAUUCAAUUGAAGUCUGUGUAAUUAGUUAUAAGUGAUCCCGGGUGUUGGUUGAUGACUGAAAAGGUUUUUUCACUUAUCUAUUGGCCUCUUCUGAUUUGGUGGUGGGGCCUUUGAGCUAGGGUGCAUAGAUCAAUAGCUGUUAAAUCGGCAGCGGCCAGACAACCGUCGAGAUGGAUCCACAGGAAAGGGAGGCUCCGCCUGGUGAGAAACCUGAACCAGUUCAAACUCACCUGCGCAAUGUGACUAUUGUUCCACAAAUGAUUAGAAGCGUCAUCAGAGAAUAUAAUGGCCAAACCUUCAAUCCAGUGGAAAUAAAGCCUGAAAUGAUUGGCCAUUGCCUGGCCGAAUUCUCCAUCUCUUACAAGCCUGUUAAGCAUGGUAGACCAGGUAUCGGCGCCAUCCAUUCAUCGAGGUUCAUUCCUCUGAAGCGAGUCCACGGGGGCAAAUUCAAAGGUCAUCCUAUGUCUCUUUGUUUUUACCAGAACAGUCAUGAAUCCUGAAAGUCAAUUGCUCUGUUUUUUUGCCUAACAUUGUAUGAGUUUGGAGACAAUCUGAAGCGGAAACCUUCACGUUGUUCAAAUAUAAGGUUUGAUGCUAGUUGGUUAUAGAGGAUACAUUGCAUUAUUCAUUUCCUGUUGAUAUGGCCACAUGAUUAUAAUAUGGUGCAGAACUUUUCUAGUUGUCUUAAUCUACAUCUGCUAAAGGUACAUUUAAACUCUCCGGUAAAUAGAUUUUCACACUCCCGUCGUGUCUGCAAUAGCUAUGAAUGGAGAAACA